GAUGAACGCUAGCGGCAGGCCUAAUACAUGCAAGUCGAACGGUGUCUUCGGACAUAGUGGCGCACGGGUGCGUAACACGUAUGCAACCUACCUUACAUUGGGGGAUAGUCUUUCGAAAGGGAGAUUAAUACCGCAUAAGACAGUAGUCUGGCAUCAGACAGCUGUUAAAGAUUUAUCGAUGUAAGCUGGGCAUGCGUCCAAUUAGUUAGUUGGCGAGGUAACGGCUCACCAAGACUAUGAUUGGUAGGGGAACUGAGAGGUCAAUCCCCCACACUGGCACUGAGAUACGGGCCAGAUGCCUACGGGAGGCAGCAGUAGGGAAUAUUGGGCAAUGGACGCAAGUCUGACCCAGCCAUGCCGCGUGCAGGAAGAAGGCGUUAUGCGUUGUAAACUGCUUUUAUACAGGAAGAAACGACUCUUGCGAGAGGCAUUGACGGUACUGUAUGAAUAAGCACCGGCUAACUCCGUGCCAGCAGCCGCCGUAACAC
rnacentral:rRNA from 1 species